rfam:Cryptococcus neoformans var. neoformans JEC21 chromosome 7 sequence.
GUCCGCGUAGCACAGUGGUAGUGCGCUUGACUACGAUUCCUCCUUCUGGAUCCGAAUCAAGAGGUCGCGAUUUCGAAUAUCGCCGUGGAUU